UCCAUUCCCUUGCAACAUCAUUGUUCUUGAUCUCGGCCAAUUUGAAUCAUGUCAUUUGCAAUCCAUCAAGACCUUUAACAGCCAUCAUGGUGCCAUUUAAUUAUUAAAUUUAAAGUGGCUAUUAGAAUUUCAUGUCUUAAUAAAUAAUGUUUACUAUACCUAAGUGAUGUUUUCAAGAUUGUGAUGUUUUGUCAUCGUUUGCAAGGUUUUGUUCCUACCUAUUUUGGUAAGUGCACUCUUUUAGUUUUUCAAUUAUGGUGGUUUGUAUUAGUUAAACCUUUGUAGUCUCAAUGGAUUGAAUGUUC
rnacentral:lncRNA from 1 species